GCGUCAGAGCGCAGCGUCACGUGACGGCGUCACCGGGCAGCGCCGCCGCCGCUGCUCUGGGUCCCGGUCCGGCCAAUCCCCGCCGGUGCCGCCGCUGCUCUGGAUCCCGGUCCGGCCAAUCCCCGCUAGUGCCGCUGCUCUGUGCCCCUCUGCCGGCCCGGCUCGGCGGCAGAUACGCGGCCGCCGUUGUUGGGCACAAGCGCCCCGUGUCGCCGGUCCCUCUGUGCCCUCCGGGGGCUGCGGCUCAGCCACCGGCACGGCGGGCGCACACGGGGGCGGGAUGCACCGGGACAGGAGGAGCCGAGCAGGGAGGUGGCCGUGCCCAGGGCCCGGAGGUGGCAGCGGGGGCUGUGACGUGGGAGGUCCCGCAGGGCUGCGGCUCUGGGCUCUUCUGGUGCUGCAUCGCUGAUGGUGACUGAAAGCACAGAACCAUCAAGAACUCCGCGCAGCAGGACCGAAGUGGCACUGAAGUGCGACCACAGCCCCAUCUCCGGCAGCUGUUGGUCUCCAGAAGCAGCUGGAGGCCAGUGGGCAAGGCUGGAGAUCAGCAUUUCCCAGGCUCCGGUUAUCCCGGGUGUUCACGCGCCAGAGCUGACAAACAGCCAAAUAAAGAAAGCCAAGAGACUGAAGAUCUUGCUGGUAUCACUGUGUUUCAUAUUGGGUUUUUCUUCCCAUCCCUGACUACGGAUAUUCUCAGCUGGCAGUAAUUGGGGUGUGCAUUAAUUCGUGCUCCCAAAAGCAGGAACACCAGGAGCAUCUUUGCUGGAUCAUGCAGUGAAUAACAACCACCAGCAAAGCGUUGAUACUGAAACUGCCGACUUGACACAGGGCAAACCACUGUGACUAAAGGCUCUAAAACGUAAAGUAAACUUUAUUAUCCUUGAA